rnacentral:rRNA from 1 species
GAUGAACGCUGGCGGCGUGCCUAAUACAUGCAAGUCGAGCGAACAGAUGAGGAGCUUGCUCCUCUGACGUUAGCGGCGGACGGGUGAGUAACACGUGGAUAACCUACCUAUAAGACUGGGAUAACUUCGGGAAACCGGAGCUAAUACCGGAUAAUAUAUUGAACCGCAUGGUUCAAUAGUGAAAGACGGUUUUGCUGUCACUUAUAGAUGGAUCCGCGCCGCAUUAGCUAGUUGGUAAGGUAACGGCUUACCAAGGCAACGAUGCGUAGCCGACCUGAGAGGGGGAUCGGCCACACUGGAACUGAGACGCGGUCCAGACGCCUACGGGAGGCAGCAGUAGGGAAUCUUCCGCAAUGGGCGAAAGCCUGACGGAGCAACGCCGCGUGAGUGAUGAAGGUCUUCGGAUCGUAAAACUCUGUUAUUAGGGAAGAACAAAUGUGUAAGUAACUAUGCACGUCUUGACGGUACCUAAUCAGAAAGCCACGGCUAACUACGUG